rnacentral:misc_RNA from 1 species
AAAAAAAAAAAAAAAAACUAUAGAGCUCCGUUUGGUUCCCAGGAAAAUGUAGGAAUAGAGAGCAAAAUGAAAUAUUGAGCUUAUUAGUGUGACUGCUUGUAGGAGCAAAGUGAUUUUAGAACUAUAUUAAGAUGAUUUGUUUGUGUAAGAUUAAGAUGAUAUUCAUGUUUUGAUUUCCUCCAUUUCGUCUAAUCUGAGACUUGGAUUAACCAGGCGGAUUUUAAUUUCCACAUUUAUUUGUAUGAUUCUGUUUUUGUGAUUGAUAUUCCCAAUUCUGUAUAUUUUUUUGAGUGUUGUUAGAUGAUUUUUGAACAUUUGUAUUAAGAAAAUGGAAAGGGAGAGGCUGGAGAAGCUGAAGCGGAGG